rnacentral:rRNA from 1 species
GACGAACGCUGGCGGCGUGCUUAACACAUGCAAGUCGAACGGAAAGGCCCUGCUUUUGUGGGGUGCUCGAGUGGCGAACGGGUGAGUAACACGUGAGUAACCUGCCCUUGACUUUGGGAUAACUUCAGGAAACUGGGGCUAAUACCGGAUAGGAGCUCCUGCUGCAUGGUGGGGGUUGGAAAGUUUCGGCGGUUGGGGAUGGACUCGCGGCUUAUCAGCUUGUUGGUGGGGUAGUGGCUUACCAAGGCUUUGACGGGUAGCCGGCCUGAGAGGGUGACCGGCCACAUUGGGACUGAGAUACGGCCCAGACUCCUACGGGAGGCAGCAGUGGGGAAUAAUGCACAAUGGGCGGAAGCCUUAUGCAGCAACGCCGCGUGCGGGAUGACGGCCUUCGGGUUGUAAACCGCUUUCGCCUGUGACGAAGCGUGAGUGACGGUAAUGGGUAAAGAAGCACCGGCUAACUACGUG